rnacentral:tRNA from 1 species
UUUAUAAAGAAAAAUCUUUUUUUAGAAA